rnacentral:rRNA from 1 species
UAGAGGAAGUAAAAGUCGUAACAAGGUUUCCGUAGGUGAACCUGCGGAAGGAUCAUUACAGUAGUCGCCCGGGUUGCCGCAAGGCCUCCCGGGUAACCUACCACCCUUUGUUUAUUACACUUUGUUGCUUUGGCAGGCCUGCCCUCGGGCUGCUGGCUCCGGCCGGCGAGCGCCUGCCAGAGGACCUAAACUCUGUUUGUCUAUACUGUCUGAGUACUAUAUAAUAGUUAAAACUUUCAACAACGGAUCUCUUGGUUCUGGCAUCGAUGAAGAACGCAGCGAAAUGCGAUAAGUAAUGUGAAUUGCAGAAUUCAGUGAAUCAUCGAAUCUUUGAACGCACAUUGCGCCCCCUGGUAUUCCGGGGGGCAUGCCUGUCCGAGCGUCAUUACAACCCUCAAGCUCAGCUUGGUAUUGGGCCCCGCCGCUCCGGCGGGCCCUAAAGUCAGUGGCGGUGCCGUCCGGCUCCGAGCGUAGUAAUUCUUCUCGCUCUGGAGGUCCGGUCGUGUGCUCGCCAGCAACCCCCAAUUUUUUUCAGGUUGACCUCGGAUCAGGUAGGGAUACCCGCUGAACUUAAGCA